rnacentral:rRNA from 1 species
UACGGGGGGCGCAAGCGUUGCUCGGAAUCACUGGGCGUAAAGCGUCCGCAGGCGGCCAGGUCAGUCGGGUGUGAAAGCCCGGAGCUCAACUCCGGAACUGCAUUCGAUACUGCCCGGCUCGAGUACGGGAGAGGAUGGCGGAAUUCCUGGUGUAGAGGUGAAAUUCGUAGAUAUCAGGAGGAACACCGGUGGCGAAAGCGGCCAUCUGGCCCGAUACUGACGCUCAUGGACGAAAGCGCGGGGAGCAAACAGG